GAAAAUGAUUUUGCUGUCUUCCCAUACUUAGUCUCCAGUGGACUGUAGCUCAGAAUUUCGCUGUAAAUAAUGGACUCCAAAACCAAGAACUAGCCUGAAAAUAAUUUAUGCAGCAGGCAGAUUUUAUAUUUGUCGUUCUGAAGAAGGAACUCACCAUGAAAUGUUGACUGUUUAUUCAUUCCCAGAGAUGCUGCCUGACCUGCUGAGUUCCUCCAGUAUUUUGUGUGUGUUGCCUUGGAUUUCUGGCAUCAGCCGAUUUUCUCAUGUUUGUUUUAAACUACUUUGUCAGCUGGAAGCAUCUUCGCUGUGGUAAGGAAGAGGGGACCCACCACUUGAAUAGUGGGUAUUGGCAUCAAAAUGCACUGUGAAGAAUAAACAAGGAAGUGAACUAUUUUUUGAAGAUUGGGUGGUUACAGUAAAAACUCCCUUUAGUGAAAGUACUCAUGGUUAUUUAUCCAAUAGGGCUUAAGAACAUUGUCUGAGUUUAAAACGUUGCAAUCAACAAAACUAAUAUCAUCAUAGGUACAGUAGUAGCCUCUUGCGGCCUCCAAGCCACAAUUUUAAAAAAUAACAAGUGAUCGCUAAAUGAACUCCAUAUCCUCCUUUACUUUGUAUUCCUUGAUCCUUUUAGCUUAAUUUCAGCUUUAAAAGUAACGAUCGAUCCAGCAUCAUCUGCCAUUUAACAUUUCUACCACACUUUGGAUGGCCUGAUUUCUCCUAAACUAUGAAUCCAAUAUCCUAGGCACCACCCACUUCCUCAUAACCAGUUAUAAUUAAUUCUCUAUCAUUUUGGUCCUCCUUUAUACCUAGAUCAUUUUAAUAAUGCAAUUAAUAACUCCAAUGAAAUUACAUAUUAAUUUUUCAGGUUCCAACAAAUAAAGGUCCAGUUUAUACAAUCACUCCUGCUAAUUUAACCCUCAUAGUCCAAGUAGCAUUUACUUAAUAUUUCAUUCAAUUUUGAUCCUAAAGGACAAGGCCUUAAGCUAAACACAGGAAUCCAGUGACACCAAACACCUACGACUAUAGCUCAGCAUUUAAUACCAUCAUUCCCACAAUCCUGAUUGAGAAGUUGCAGAACUUGGGCCUCUGUACCUCCCUCUGCAACUGGAUCCUCGACUUUCUAACCAGAAGACCACAGCCUGUGUGGAUUGGUGAUAACAUAUCCUCCUCGCUGAUGAUCAACACUGGUGCACCUCAGGGGUGUGUGCUUAUCCCACUGCCCUGCUCUCUAUAUACACAUGACUGUGUGGCUAGGCAUAGCUCAAAUACCAUCUAUAAAUUUGCUGACAAUACAACCAUUGUUGGUAGAAUCUCAGGUGGUGACGAGAGGACAUACAGGAGUGAGAUAUGCCAACUAGUGGAGUGGUGCCACGGCAACAACCUGGCACUUAACAUCAGUAAGAUGGAAGAGCUGAUUGUGGACUUCAGGAAGGGUAAGACAAAGGAACAGAUGUCAAUCCUCAUAGAGGGAUCAGAAGUGGAGAAAGUAAGCAGUGUCAAGAUCUCUGAAGAUCUAACCUGGUCCCAACAUACCAACAUAGUUAUAAAGAAGGCAAGACAGCAGCUAUGCUUUAUUAGAAUAAAUUUGGCAUGUCAACAAAUAUUUUUAUAGUUGUAUCUUGGAGAGCAUUCUGGCAGGCUGCAUCACUGUCUGGUAUGGAGGUGCUACUGUACAGGACUGAAAGAAGCUGCAGAAGGUUGUAAAUCUAGUCAGCUCCAUCUUGGGUACUAGCCUACAAAGUAUCCAGGACAUCUUUAGGGAGCGGUGUCUCAGAAAGUCAGCGUCAAUUAUUAAGGACCUCCAUCACCCAAGAGCAUGCCCUUUUCUCAUUGUUACCAUCAGGUAGGAGAUACAGAAGCCCAGAGGAACCCACUCAGUGAUUCAGGAACAGCUUCUUCCCCUCUGCCAUCCGAUUCCUAAAUGGACGUUGAACCUUUGGACUAUCUAAUUAUCUUUUAAUAUACAGUAUUUCUGUUUUUGUACAUUUUUAAAAUAUAUUCAAUAUACAUAAUUGA